CCCGUACACAAAAGUGCAUGUGUUGUGAACUCGAAGAGUAGGGCGGGACACGUGGUAUCCUGUCUGAAUAUGGGGGGACCAUCCUCCAAGGCUAAAUACUCCUGACUGACCGAUAGUGAACCAGUACCGUGAGGGAAAGGCGAAAAGAACCCCGGCGAGGGGAGUGAAAAAGAACCUGAAACCGUGUACGUACAAGCAGUGGGAGCCUCUUUAUGGGGUGACUGCGUACCUUUUGUAUAAUGGGUCAGCGACUUAUAUUCUGUAGCAAGGUUAACCGAAUAGGGGAGCCGAAGGGAAACCGAGUCUUAACUGGGCGUUAAGUUGCAGGGUAUAGACCCGAAACCCGGUGAUCUAGCCAUGGGCAGGUUGAAGGUUGGGUAACACUAACUGGAGGACCGAACCGACUAAUGUUGAAAAAUUAGCGGAUGACUUGUGGCUGGGGGUGAAAGGCCAAUCAAACCGGGAGAUAGCUGGUUCUCCCCGAAAGCUAUUUAGGUAGCGCCUCGUGAACUCAUCUUCGGGGGUAGAGCACUGUUUCGGCUAGGGGGUCAUCCCGACUUACCAACCCGAUGCAAACUGCGAAUACCGAAGAAUGUUAUCACGGGAGACACACGGCGGGUGCUAACGUCCGUCGUGAAGAGGGAAACAACCCAGACCGCCAGCUAAGGUCCCAAAGUCACAGUUAAGUGGGAAACGAUGUGGGAAGGCUCAGACAGCCAGGAUGUUGGCUUAGAAGCAGCCAUCAUUUAAAGAAAGCGUAAUAGCUCACUGGUCGAGUCGGCCUGCGCGGAAGAUGUAACGGGGCUAAACCAUGCACCGAAGCUGCGGCAGCGACACUAUGUGUUGUUGGGUAGGGGAGCGUUCUGUAAGCCGUUGAAGGUGGCCUGUGAGGGUUGCUGGAGGUAUCAGAAGUGCGAAUGCUGACAUAAGUAACGAUAAUGCGGGUGAAAAACCCGCACGCCGGAAGACCAAGGGUUCCUGUCCAACGUUAAUCGGGGCAGGGUGAGUCGACCCCUAAGGCGAGGCCGAAAGGCGUAGUCGAUGGGAAACAGGUUAAUAUUCCUGUACUUGGUGUUACUGCGAAGGGGGGACGGAGAAGGCUAUGUUAGCCGGGCGACGGUUGUCCCGGUUUAAGCAUGUAGGCGGAGAUUCCAGGUAAAUCCGGAGUCUUGUUAACGCUGAGGUGUGAUGACGAGGCACUACGGUGCUGAAGUAACAAAUGCCCUGCUUCCAGGAAAAGCCUCUAAGCAUCAGGUAACACGAAAUCGUACCCCAAACCGACACAGGUGGUCAGGUAGAGAAUACCAAGGCGCUUGAGAGAACUCGGGUGAAGGAACUAGGCAAAAUGGUGCCGUAACUUCGGGAGAAGGCACGCUGAUAUGUAGGUGAAGUGAUUUACUCAUGGAGCUGAAAUCAGUCGAAGAUACCAGCUGGCUGCAACUGUUUAUUAAAAACACAGCACUGUGCAAACACGAAAGUGGACGUAUACGGUGUGACGCCUGCCCGGUGCCGGAAGGUUAAUUGAUGGGGUUAUCCGUAAGGAGAAGCUCUUGAUCGAAGCCCCGGUAAACGGCGGCCGUAACUAUAACGGUCCUAAGGUAGCGAAAUUCCUUGUCGGGUAAGUUCCGACCUGCACGAAUGGCGUAAUGAUGGCCAGGCUGUCUCCACCCGAGACUCAGUGAAAUUGAACUCGCUGUGAAGAUGCAGUGUACCCGCGGCAAGACGGAAAGACCCCGUGAACCUUUACUAUAGCUUGACACUGAACACUGGUCCUUGAUGUGUAGGAUAGGUGGGAGGCUUUGAAG
rnacentral:rRNA from 1 species